UUGUCUGUUCAAAUUUUUGCCAAAUGCAUAGGCUUUCUAACAUUAAUAUGAUGCUACUAUAGCAACAAUUUAUGACAGUCCGUUUCACAA